AGAGGUGGAAGGUGCUCCCAUCCUUUACAAUUAAUCAGUUUGAUGGAUGUCAAAUUGACAAGAGAUAGAUUUGCCAUCCAACAUGGAGAUUUAGCACCUUGGUAUUGUCUGCUGCACAUUUUCUUGAGAUUGAUAUGAGGGCAGAGGUUAUCGAGGAGCUGCUCAUCCGUUUCUGCACUAUUGGAGCGGUCUUCAGACCAUUCCAAUGAUAGUGAUUUGAGAUUUUCUUUCUCAUUCAGCUUGGCCUCCAUAGCUUCUUCCUCAUCACAUUUUCAAGUUUCCUAAUACACAGGCGACGAAGGUCCCUGAGGUUCUUUAGUUCACCAACUUUGUAACCGCUCUCCUCUCGGAUAAUAAAAUUUUGUAAUUUGUGGAUGAAGGGUAGUUUGCUAAUAUAAGGAAUAUUUUCUAUCACAUGAUGGGGAACAUCUAAUAAACGCAAAUUUACCAAGUUGGUCAAGCCAUCAUAUUCAAUACUUUCAUUCACAACUUUCCCUAGUGAAAGAGAUAGGUAGCGGAGGUGUAUCAAGCUACUAAGUGCAUCGGGCAGUUUAUAAGGGUCAAAAUUCACAUCUAAGAUCAAUAAGCGUAACUUUUUAAACCCUUUUAUAACCUCGAGAAAUUCAAGUGCAUGAUUUGCAUUAUGCUCAUUAUCCUCUCUAACAGAAAUGACAAGAGUGCGCACGUUCUUAAGAUUGGAGAUCUCUCUGAUGGAAAGAAGAUUUAUCAUCUCAACAUGUAAGUGUCGAACUGGUUUUGGAAUAAUAUUUCCUGCAACAUCACCUCCUAUUCUUUUGCAUUCCCCUAGAGAAACAGAUUGUGCUAGGUCAUGCAGCAGAUCGUGCAUAAAAUACUCUUUAGUAAUUUUCACCAGAUUAUCACUAGUUUCGCAAGUAAAGAAUGAUUUUCUUGUCAGAAGAUUUAAAUACUCAUUUCCGAUAUCCUCUGGCCUUUGCCUGUCGCAAAUAGAUUGCGGAAUCAGACUUGAACCAAUCCACAUAUUGACCAACUUUUUCCUCUUAAACAUAUAAUCUUGUGGAAAUAAACUACAAUAUCUAAAGCAGAGUUGUAAGUUUGUGGAUAAGUGAUCGUAGCUUAAUCUCAAAAUUGUCAUGAUGCCAUCCUUUCCUAGUUGUAAUUUCAUGAUGUCUUCUUCCAAGAUUUUCUUCCAAUAUUCAUAGUCCAUAUAGGAGUUCAGCAUUCCUCCCAUAACUUUUAUUGCCAAUGGGUAUCCUCCAAGUUUCUUCGCUAUAUGUUGACCAAUUGGUUGCAAGUUUUUAUAAUCAUCAGGAUUCACACCGAGGAAUGCAUGCUUAUUGAAAAGCGACAUAUAGUCGCUCUCCUCCAACUCAUUUAGAUUUAAUGAUUCCCGUUUGCAUUUCAUUACAUUUGCCACCAUAUCCGCAACUGAACCCAUUCGAGUUGUCAACAGGAUCUUGCUUCCUCUCUGUCCGGAUUUCAAAGGAGCAACCAAUUUCUCCCACUCCGUCAUGUUAUCAUCGUUCCAAACAUCAUCUAGUAUGAGCAAAAACCUCUUCGAUGUUAGUUUUUCUUUAAGUUUCUCAUGGAGUGCAUUUAGACGCUUGUCGCCAAAAUUCUCACUACUUACACAUUCUAAAAUUUUUCUUGUUAUCACAGUUACAUCGAAAUCCUGAGAAAUGCAAGCCCACAUAAUCGGGUCGAAGUACACUCGCACUCUUUCAUUACUAUAGACUAGUUGAGCAAGAGUGGUCUUCCCGAGCCCACCCAUACCAACAAUUGUGAAAGCAGAGACAUCAACAUCGGCAUCUCCCGGGUUGAUCAGCCAUUUGACUAUCAGGCCCGUCUCCUUGUCUCGUCCGAGCACCUCACUUUUGAUUACCAAGGAGCUAGUCUCGCGAGCAUUCUUGAUUUCCUCGAGCUUUUGACGCUUAACACUAGGAUUAGAAUUUUUAAGAUAAAUAAAUAAAUUUAUUUAAAAAAAUAUAUUUUGUAAUUAAAAAUAUAUGUGUGGGUACCCGUGGGUACCCGUGGGUUACCCAAAAUGCUCACAACUUAAUGGGUACCCACCCGUUUUACCCAUAAUUUUUUGGGUUGAAAAAGUUGCUACCCAUACCCGCAAAUUUGCGGAUAACCAACGGGCACCCGCGGGUUUGGGUCGAGAUUGCCGGGUCUAAUUGGUACCUUAAUAACAUCUAAUUGAUUUGAGUCUUGAUUUAGGAAAUUGAUUAUAAAAAUUACAUAUGCCUGCAUAAGGGAGGGUGGAGCAACUGCGUGCGCCAAAAUAUUACCUGCACCUGGUGUACAAGCACAUAUCUAUACACCGCAUCUCUGAAAUGGACAAAUGUUUUAGAACUAAGAAAAUUAAAAUCUAACUCACUGAAUGUUAAAGUGAUUUUAGACCAAAAAUGAUCUUUCCCUUCAUAAAGCAUUUGAUGAACUUGUCUUUCAAAAUCUAAUUCUUAUUUUUCUCUCUAAAAUCAGAAGUAUUUAAAACCUGCUAUCUCUAAUCUGAAUCUAAUUUUGAACUCAAAUUUUAAGCUUAAAUUUUAUUUUUAGGUUCAAAUUUUUAAUUUAAAUUUAGAUUUUUAAAUUUUAAAUUUUAAAUUUCAAAUUUAAGUUUUUAAAUCUUAAAUUUCAAGUUAUCAAUUUUUAGUUUUCAAAAUUUGAAUUUAGAUAUUAAUUUUUAGAUUUUAAAUCUCAAAUUUUAAAUUCAAUUUCAUAAUUUUUUUUAAUCUACUCUUUUUAGAUAUUUUAGGUUUAAUAUAUCAGACAAAUGUAUAUCGUUGUGUGGCAUAUAGCGUAUUUAUACACUGGAGGUACAUGCAUUUGUUCUUUCUGCAUAUCUGGUGUUUGGUAACACAUAAACUUAGUUAAAAAUAGUUUAAGAGAUAUUAAAUUAUAGAAAAAAUAAUAAUCCACUUGUUAGUAUUUUGUUUGGCGUAAAACAAAUUGAGAUUGAAGCACAAGUGCUCGGUUUGAAAGAAGAGAAAAUAAAGUAUGUAGGAAAGUAGAUGUGGGACGGAGGACAGAUACUACUGACUUUUUAGUUUUGUUUUUUCAUCCGAAAAUAAUUAUUUGUCACUUAAAGUAUAUAAUUAUGUCACUGGAAAGUGUAAAAUACGCAAACCAAUAUCAAAAAGCUAAUAUUAGUAUUUGACCAAAACUAUUUUCGACCUGAGCAUUUAUUUGAAUGCAUGAAUAUCUUAUCCGGUCUAUCUGUUAUGUUUAUUUAAGAACUGUAUAGUAUUUGGUAGAUUAGAAUUUCCAUCAAUUUAAUGGUUUUAAUUAUCUUUUGCAAACAAACUGAAACAACCAAUAGCUAAUAGAGGUAUUAAACUUCACAAAUUUUCGCUUUAACUAACUCAAAUAACUGAAAUAAAAAAAACCAUAUUAGAAUCUAAGAACAGUGUCAAUAAAAAACAAAAAUAAUUGCCAAGUUGAGGGGCCUAUUCGCAAUGGCGUAUAGUUGCAGAGGUCUCAUUUAGAAUUUUACCUCAAACAAAAAAAAAAAAAAAUUAUGUCUCUGAAAACAACAGUUCGAAAAAUAAGGAACUGCACAAAGGAGCGUAGACAGAAAAUUUGAAUCAAAACCAACCUUACAGAGAUUGAAGACUGAACUGAACAUCAGCAACAGUUGUCGGUCUGUUUGAGUUUUGAGUGUGCUUUUCUGUCGUCAAUGCAUUAGGAAAUUAAUUUUUUUUUCUGUUUUGGAAAAUCGUAAAGAAAGAAAAAGCAAGCAGCUGCAAGACGUGGUUGCAAGUUGAUGCCUGCUGCAGUGUAGGCCUCAUUUUCAAUUUACGGUGAAAUGUCGGUAUAAGUGUUAUCGACGGAGUGUCUGUCAAAUUUGCCCCGGAAAGUGGAUACAACCUGCAUUAAAAACUUGGAGUUGUUAUACUGCUAGAGAAACAUAAAAAUUGAUUGAUGUUUUAGCUACCUCAGAGAAGCUCAACAACUUCAUCAUAUAACAGACAAAAACAGAACAAGCUUAUGACUGGGCUAUGCGAUUUGCUAUUUGUGCAGGAAUCAAACACAAAAUUAUCUUUAAUAUAUACGCAUAUAAAUUGAGGGGAAACAAAAUUGAAGCAUUUAAUCUCCUUGCCGCAAAAAAGAGCAAUUUCUUUCUUAAAGAUUUUACAUUAGUUCGGCUGCUACAAACACACACACACACACACACACACACACACAAACAAAAAUGCAUGGAAUAUAUGUUACUCUGAUCCUGCACCAACAAAACUGAAGAACACAAGCAUGCAGUAAGACAUUAGUCUUUUUUUUCCAUAUUCUUAUGAAUAAAUUGAUGGACCAUGACCAUGUAUGGGAGUCAUAUAUGACAAUAAGAGCCUUUUUCACUAUUGCGCCAAAAAAGAAAGAGAAGAGAAAAUAAGUAGUAUGAUUUUAAUCUUGUUUUAUGCCAGAUAAGAAAAAUAGAUUCGAGCACCAAUAGGGGGUCCUAAUCCUUACAUGUUCCUGCACCACCAAAAUAGAACAUAAGCAGCUACUCUUGCUUUAUAUUCUUGAAAAAUUUGAAAGAAAUAUAUAUAUAUAGGAGUGCUAUACCAUUACUACUGCCCUGAACCAAGAAAUUUAACAAACUUAAAAAGCUUUUGUCAUGCUUCUCUUAUGUUCUAACUCAUCAGCGAGACUUCGCAUCUUGUUUGUACUCCUAGAGAGAGAAAUUACUGCACAAUUAGUCAUAUUUAACUUUAGAAAGCAAUUGACAUGCUAGCGCAAUUAACAUAUGUUAUAUUCAUGACAUUGUUUGUUAAGACUAGCACAAUGUAUUAUAUUCAUGACUAGCACAAUAUAUUCAUGACAUUGCGCUUUUUGGGGUUUUUUGGGGCUUUGAUUUUGGUUUUUGGUUUUUUUUGGUUUCUGGGUUCCUGCUCCUAGAUCUUGAUUGCGAUCAACCCAUGCUGUUCUUGCCGUUCUGUUUUUUCGCCUUACUAGACUGCUCCUAUACUCUCUGUUCUGACUUUGUUAAAAUAGGGUAUACCCCUGUUUAAUCAAAAAAAAAAAAGACUAGCACAAUGUAUUAUAGGAGGCAAUUAGUGCUUUAUUCCCUUUUUAUGUAUCCAAAUCAUAAAAUGAGAGUACAAAAUGUAAAAAUUCCAUUGAGGAUGCUAAUUAAAAAGGAACCUGGCUACUCUUGCAUUAUCUGAAAAAAGGUAAGCAAUUAAUCCCGUAAGAAAUGAGAUAACUUUGUUAAGACUGAAUGAGAUGUAUGUAGUUCAUUAAUUAAGACCAAAAUGAAUUGCAUUAUUUACAACAAAGGGUUACGAGAUGAAGGGGGGUAGAGUGUACUUACAAUUAAUAUGCAUCAUCAUCACGAUCUGCAAAUAAUGCUAUGUAAUCCUCACAAAACGGAUGUUGGCAAUCUUGGGCCAAUCAAGGCCUAUAUUCUCUUGGCAUCGCUCCUUCAACACAGGGUGACAGCUGUUGAUGACUAGACAACGCAGUGAAGUAGGUAGAUCUGGAAGUGACUGGAUGAGAUUAGCAUCUUCCACACCCAAAAUGACGAGGGAGCACAGUUUUGUCAUGCUGCGGGGUAGGGACUGAAGGGAGCGUGCUUCUCGUAUGCAUAAUUGUCCGGGGGGCAGCGUGAUUUUGUAGUAGCCAUUCCUCAGGUAAGGAGGCGAGAGCGCGUAAGCAUCAGAGAGAUGUCAAACGAGCAGACGGAGGAGAGACUUCUCAAUGGUCUAUGAGCAGGAGCGCGUGGUGUCAAUUGAUUAUAACCAUUCUUCAAAAACAGUCCAGUACUGUAUUCUUUUUUUGGCCGACAUCGUUGGGAAGGAGGCUGCAGCAGAAGGGCAACUUCAAUUAGCUUGUCACCACCUUUCAAUUAUCUAAAGAACGGAGCGAUACGAGAGCUUGUAUUCCACCAAUGAUGACAAGUUCUUUGCAGUUCUUAUAUUCUAAGCGGGAAAGCAUCGUCCACCGUGACACACUUUGUGCGGGGGAAGGGAUGCUAUACUUGCACAAUCGAGUAAUUCCACCAUAUAAAGAGGUUAAAUGCCGCUGACCACAGCAGUGGACCUCGAGGUCGCCAAAUGACAAUAGUGAGAUGACCGAGUACAGAGGGCAGUUCGAUGUCUGAGAUCCUACUUUUGUCAACUUGCGGCAAUUUUCUAUGUGCAAGGUUUUCAUGGCUUUGAAUUCCCAAAAAGCUCCGAUGGAACAUAUUCGAUCUUCUUACAGUGUCUGAUGACUAAGCUUUCAAGAGGCCUGAAAAUGUUCUUGCUACCGCAAGAAAAGAAAGAAAAGAUAUUUAAGUCUGGGCAAUCACAGCCAUGUAAAUACGAAUUGGUGUUUGGAUACAAGGGUAAAGUUUAAAUUGCCCCCGUGUGAUUUAACUCAUUUUAAACUUGACCUUGCAGUUCAAAAAGUUUUACUUUGCCCUCCUGUAGUUUAAUUUUUAUUUCAUCAAAAAAGUUCUAUAUGAAAUAGUGUGGCCAAUUAAAAAUAUUUAAAAAAUACUUUUUGAACUACAGGAGAGGGGGGUGAAAAUGAUAUUUUUGAACUACAGGAGGGGCAAGUGAAAAUGAGCUAAACCCAGGGGAGAAAUUUAAAGUUUACAAAAUAAAGCACUUACAUUGUUGUUUGCGUAAUUUGAUUUAUUGUUGAAAAGCGAUCAAUCCGACAUUAUAAAUAUGCAAAUCUCUUGACCAUAGAUGCAGAGUAGGAAUUCCCCUCAAAUUAGGGCAAUCAGAAAUAGACAUAGACUGAAGUUGAGGAAACAUGCACCUAUCAUCAAUUCCAAUCCACUCCUCCAAGUUAGGCAUGUCCCAUAACAAUAACAUCUUCAACGAUGGAAAGGCACAUCCACUGUUGCUUCCAAAGAAUGAACAAUCUAUUUGCUUUACUGUAUGCAGUCCCUGCAAGAAAAGGUGCCGGAGCGAAGAAAACUGCCAAAGAGGCGGGAGCUGCUCCCAUCUUUUACAAUCAAUUAGUUCGAUGGAUGUCAAAUUGACAAGAGACAGAUUUGUCAUCCAACAUGGAGAUUUAGCACCGUGGUAUUGUUCAAUGCGCAUUUUCUUGAGAUUGAUAUGUGGACAGAGGUUAUCGAGGAGCUGCUCAUCCGCUUCUGCACUAUUGGAGUGGCCUUCGGACCAUCGCAAUCCCAACGAUUUGAGAUAUUCUUUCUCAUUCAGCUUGGCCUCUGUAGCUUCUUCAGAAGUCCUCACAUUUUCAAGUUUCAU
rnacentral:lncRNA from 1 species